GAUGAACGCUGGCGGCGUGCCUAAUACAUGCAAGUCGAGCGAACGGACGAGAAGCUCGCUUCUCUGAUGUUAGCGGCGGACGGGUGAGUAACACGUGGAUAACCUACCUAUUAGACUGGGAUAACUUCGGGAAACCGGAGCUAAUACCGGAUAAUAUUUUGAACCGCAUGGUUCAAAAGUGAAAGACGGUUUUGCUGUCACUUAUCGAUGGAUCCGCGCUGCAUUAGCUAGUUGGUAAGGUAACGGCUUACCAAGGCAACGAUGCAUAGCCGACCUGAGAGGGUGAUCGGCCACACUGGGACUGAGACACGAUCCAGACUCCGACGGGAGGCAGCAGUAGGGAAUCUUCCGCAAUGGGCGAAAGCCUGACGGAGCAACGCCGCGUGAGUGAUGAAGGUCUUCGGAUCGUAAAACUCUGUUAUUAGGGAAGAACAUAUGUGUAAGUAACUGUGCACAUCUUGACGGUACCUAAUCAGAAAGCCACGGCUAACUACGUG
rnacentral:rRNA from 1 species